UCUGGAUCUCAUGGAGGCAUUUCCUCAGGGGAGGCUCCUUUCCCUGUGAUAACUACAGCUUGUGUCAAACUGACACACAAAACUGCUACUAUACCUUUUUACUCUGCAAAACUUCAGCCAUGAAAUGCUAGGGUAGGUUUUCCCACCUCAGAUAACUAAUCUAGAAGACUCCUCACACACUUGCUUGGCAGGGGAGAGUCCAUGAUCAAGGAGCUGGUCUUUCCUGGGUAAUGCUUAUUCUUUGCAGUCUGGAUGUGCUUGACUGAGUAAUUUUUGGUAGUGGGGGAAUGUAUUCUUGCUCCCGAUGAGUGAAUUAAAGGAAUAGAAAAGAAACUCACUGGCAGACAUAGUCAGAGGUUUAUUUCCAUGGUGAUACUAAGUCCCAUCAAGUUGACAAUCAAGAUUAGCCAUUGUGGGGGUCUAGAAAACAGUCAGACAUUGCCCUAGUGACCUCUUACCCAGUCUGCCUGGAGCCCCUUGAGAGCUAUUAACCAGGAAAAGGCUAGAACCCAUAAGCACGUCACCAGUUCCUAAGUCCAGUGUUGCUUCAGGGGCUGGCCCAAGUAGCUGGAGUUCUGAAAAUUAUUAACACAUCAGUGGAAGAAAUAGAAAGACUCUUUAGCUGUUGUCAGUGGAAAGUUGAGGUUGUUGGGGGCAAGGGGAAUUGAAUAUGGUCACUGCCUUAGGUACACUGGAGGGACAGGACCAAAAGUCAAGGGUCCCAGGCUCCCUUUAAUACAAGGUGAACAGUAGACCAUUAGUAGAGUGUCCCUGUGUUUGAAUGGCAGAACUGCCCCCCUAAAACAAGAAGCAUUGAUCUGGAGACCUGAGAACCUGGAAACUAGUCAGUAGGUGAAUCUGAGCUUCGGGAAAACUUUACCAUUGUUUCCCAUUCAUCAAAGUCAUGUGGUGGACAGGUGACCUUUGCUUGUCCUCGGUAUUCAGUGCCACCAGUGCUGCUGCAGCUGCAGGUAAACCCGAGUGGAUGGAUGCCUGCUCACCAAGUCCCAGGCUUUCCCUGACUGCAGCUGGGUGAGUGCAGGUGUGUAGGUGUGGGCCUCAGUGAUGUGCUGCUAUCUGCUGUCAUCCGAGCCAGUCUACUUGGCCAGUAUAGAGUGUUCUUUUCUCUUUCCUCUUCCAAUCUCUUUGUCCUUUGAAGAUAGGACUACUGGGCCCAAAGAGCAGUGAGACUCUAGGAAGUACCCAGACUCCUUUCCCAAGGCCAGCUCUCCUUAGCUGCUUCUCCGCCUCAGUAGGAGUCUCUGAGCCCCUGCAGGCACUGCUGUAAAGGGUCUCUAACCUGGGCCUUCAGGCUGUUCUAAGGACUGGAGUGAAGAGGUCUGUGUUCCCUUCCUUCCAAAGAGUGCCCUCCCUUUAUAUUUGCAGACAGGAACUAAACUCAGUGCUGUCCACUGGUUUCGCCAUCAUUUAGUUACUAGAGAGCAUUAUCUUCAAACCUAGUUCAGGGAAUGAUAGCCUUGCCAUCAAAAAUUACACUAAAUUACUGUAUUGGAUUGCUUGUGUUAAAUUAUGCAGGACUGUGGUGGGGCUCGAUGGCCGAGCACUUCCCAACUGCGAGCAAGGUUCUGAGUUCUAUCCCUAGUACCAUAAAACCAAUAACAUUGUGGAGAGCUGGGUAUGGUGGUGCAAACCUGUAAUCCCAGUACUCAGGGCAAUGCUGUGGCCGGGGAGUAAACGAAGGGUGACUGAGUCUCAGGCCAGUCUGGACUAUUAAAAGUUGUUUUCUCUUGUGCCAACAUACUUAAUUUUACCUCUUUGCCCUUAAAUACUGAAAUAUUUACUCCCCAACUCCUUUUUUUUUAACAUUUUAAUGUAUUUUAUUGUCUUAUUUGUCAGUGGUAGGGAACAGACCCAGAAUUCAGGGCCUCACACAUGUGAGGCAGGUGUUCUACCACUGAGCUAGCCCCUAACCUCAGCAGCCUUCUCUCUCCUUAGGAUUACUUAGGGCACUCUCAAGCAUUAAGGGCUAUCUUUUUUUUUUUUUUUAAUUAGGUAUUUUCCUCAUUUACAUUUCCAAGGGCUAUCUUAACAAUGCAUUUUGCAUAAACUUAGGAGAAGUAGAAGGUGCAAUCAGAAGUCUGGAGAGUUCCUUGCCUUCUGUGUAUCUCACUUCUGGAAAGUUCUGAUCCUCACUUGGCUCCCAGGGACUAUGCCCAGCCUUUCCAUGAGAGAGAGUACAGAGGUCUCUUCCUCAAACGCUCCUGUUACCUGGAACCCUGCUCGGCCUUUGUCCUGGUCCUCUGGUCAGGGUUUGAUAGAAGAAAGGACUUUUGUGCUGUAUUUAUGGAUUGCCGAGCUGUAGGGGGUAGCAGUGGCCUGAGGCGCCUACUAGAACCUGCCUGGAAAGGACAGACUGAUUUCAGCAGGUGUCUUGAAGACUAAACCCCUGUUAGCUUAGCAUCCCUGGAGCCUACAGACCCCUCCCCAUAUAUGCUAGACCCUUCCUGUGUGGUUGUGAUUUCUGGGCAGCUUCCUGCCUUCCCUGGACCCAGAUUUCUACAGUACUUGUGGGGCAGAGUGUGGUGUUCCCCAGGGAUGUUCAUCUUUCAUAGCUUGUCUAUCUGUAGACGCCCCCUCCCCUGUCUUCUGCAUCCCCUUGCAUCCUGCAGCCACUCCAAACCUGUCUAUCCUGUAUUCCUCAUUGACCUGCUUCUCAUGGAGUUUUUAUCUCAAGCCCUCUGCCCAGGUUUCUAGCUGGGGAAACCAUUGAAAAAUGAGAGACAGACUGGGUCCUUAAACUACAGGAAGUUACACAUCCUGUUUUCCAAAUCCAGAAUUCUAUACCUGACUGCAUGGAACGGGUCACAUUCAAAACAUGGAUAUGCUACAAACAAAAUUACCCUUGGGUCAUGUGUGCAGCAUAUGCAGAAACACAAGUGGAUCUUGUGUGUGUGUGUGGAUGUAAACCCCAUCCCCAAGAUAACUGUAUUACAUUUGUAUGUAUUGGUAGUUCAAGAUCUCAACCCGCCCAGGUAGAGGCUUGUUUAUCUAGGAUAUUCAACCUUCCGUGGACUGAGCCAGGUCCUACGAAGGCCACAUCUGUGAAGUACGUGGACAAGCUUCUUCCCACGUGGCUGCCCUGAGGCUUUGUUAAUGGGCUGACGGAACUACGGGAGAGAGCUUUGUGGGGCUAGUAUUAGAGACAAGCAAAGGGGGACCAUUUCAAGCACUGACCUAUCUCUUCCUGCUGGGUAAAGUCUUGCUUACUUACCAUGUUCUUCCAUGCUUUGAUGUGACUCUUUCUUGAGGUGUUCUCACCUACCUUCUUCCUCUAGGUGGGGUGAUUCUUUUCUAAAGGUGGUAGGGUUUUUUAGGUGGUAGUCCAGACUGGUCAAAUAUGUGUGGCAGGUCACGGGAAAGGGAGUCAUGGAAACCCACGUUGUCAUAAUGCCAUGUUGUUUUUGUACCUGAAAUAAAGCAUAUUUUGCACUUGUAAAUGAAAAAUCUGUAUGUGGGCUCUGUGCUGGGUCAGAAUGCAAAUAAAACCAUUUGUACU
rnacentral:lncRNA from 1 species